UUAUAUUUACUAUUUCCUCUGUCGUUCUCAAAUGAGUGAUGUAUUACACUCACCAGUGCAUUAUUUCCAUUGCUAUACCAAAUUCACUACCGGUAAAAUUUUUUAAAUUGUACUACUACUGCAUGCCAUGGACUAUCCGCUAUUUCUACCGUCAUUGAUGGGCUCUUGUUGAUAUUUGGCCUGCAAGUGAUCCACUUCCAAAGUCCUUUCUAAGAGUCUACACUCUGGUACCAACUGUUAUAGGCUGGAUUCACCACAAACCAUAUUUUGAGGCAGAGAUUUGCAUGCAGGGACUUUACUGGAAGUUGCUCUUAGAAUCAACUCUUGUGGGGAAGCAAAGCAACAAAAUUAUAGAGAGAGAAAAGAUGAACUAUGAAUCAGCCAAAACAAAGACCAUAGGCUCUCCAACAGAGCUCUGGAGUUGGGAUGGUCCUUCAGAGUUGCCCAAAUUGAAGCAACAAGGUUAGGACUUUAUACCCCUACAUCACCCAGUUUGGGGAUGUCAGUUGCCUCCAGGAAGAAGGUAUGAUUUUGUCUAUGCAGCUUACUUUAGCCAAGAAAAAUUCUCUGAGAGAGACUCAGCUGAGAGCUGCCAACACUCCCAGCAGCUGAGGGAAUAAGUUCUUUUGACCUGGGUUGGGAAGGGUAUCUAGCUACACACCACACCCUCUACUACACAGACCAUGGAAAAUCAGUGUCUCUAAGCAAAGACAGAUUCACUACUUAGUCUACAUAUUUGCAAUUGCCCACCUUUUAUUCCUCAGAUUAACUCAGCUUUACUCAGGUUCAGUGUAUGUGCUAGGCACCAGGAAAAUAAUGAUAAAUAAGAUUCCUAUAUUCAGAAUGCCAACUAUUUCCUCCCUGCCUCCAUAGCUCCUAUAAGAGAAUGUGCCCAUUCUCCUUCUCUAGGAGUCUACUCCCAUAAGCCCUUCUUCAGUGUUCUGUUGCUACAUAUUUCCUGUCCUCAGCUGAUUGGUGCAAGGGUGAUAACUAGACCCAAGCUGUACCAACCUGAUUUUCUCUUCUUUUUUUAGGGCCGCACCCAGGGCAUAUGGAGGUUCCCAGGGUAGGGGUCAAAUCUGAGCUACAGCUGCCUGCCUAUGCCACAGCCACAGCAAUGCAGGAUCCAAGCCACGUCUGUGACCUACACCACAGCUCACAGCAAAGCUGGAUCUUCAACCCACUGAGUGAGGCCAGGGAUCAAACCCGCAACCUCAUGGUUCCUAGUCAGAUUCAUUUCCGCUGCGCCACCACGGGAACUCAUGAUUUUCUCUUCUGAUACCUUGGAACUGGUACCUUUGGACCCAAAUCAGUCUUUUUUAUUUUACUAGAAACUCCAUAUCAAGCCAAGGCCACAACAGAAAUAACUGGUUUCUGUGCCCCGAGAAACAGAGAAAACAAGUGAAAAGGCAGCAUAAAGUAGAUAUUCAGAAAGGAGCAGGGAAAGGAGAUCAUGAACAUUCUCUGUCAAGAUGCUUCUGGCCACAAGUAUGCCUUUCUUAAACAGUGAGAAAACCUACCACUUUAUAUAUUAGUCUGUUAGGGCUACUGCAACAAAAUAUCACAAACUGGAUGGCUAAAACAACAGAAAUAUAUUUCUCCUAGUUCUGGAGGCUGGAAGCCUGAGAUCAAAGUGUUGGCAGGUUUGGUUCCUCUGAAGGCCUCUCCUUGGUGGGCAGAUGGCUGCUUAGCCUUUCCUCUGUUUGUGUAUUCUUGAUGUCUCUCCCUCUCCUUAUAAGGACACAAGUCAUAUUGGGUUAAAGCCUACACUUACGACCUCAUCUAAGCUGAAUUAUCUCUUUAAAGCCCCUAUGUCCAAAUACAGUCACAGUCUAAGGUACGAGGGUUUAGGACUUCAACAUAUGAGUUUGGGGGGAACAGAAUUCAGCCCAUGACACCUUAUAUAACAGGAAGUCCUCUUAAUGUAGGCUCCGGGUACGGCCCAAUGACACAAAGUCACAGGUGCUGUCUCUGCUCUCUUCCUCUUGGCAUCAGGUUAAUUCUAAGGCUGGUUCCCCUUAUCGCUGAAAGAGGACUGCCAAUGGCAAUUGGGACUAUAGGCUUUCUUUUUAAGUCUGGAAAUAAAGAAAGAUACCUUCUCCACCAAUUAUGGAGCCCUCUGAUUUUAAUCUGUUUGGGUCAACUUAGGUUACCAGGCUUACUCCUGGGCCUAUAAUAGCCACAAGAAUGCCAUCUGUUGAUUGUCUACCCCCAGAAGACCUACCCCCAGAAAUGAAGAGAUUGUUGUCUUCUCCUGGAGUUAGAAAGGGAAAGGAUGGUUAUCUGAACAUAAUCAAGAAUCUGUUAGGAAAAAAGAGGGGAGAAUGGAUGUUAGGUAGCUUUGCUGUCAAAGCUAUAGCCAUGAGAAAGAAUCCCCAGUGGAAAGGCAGGGAUAAUCCUGUGCUACAACCAUUACUCGCCAGCAGUAUAUUUCUACCUUUCAUUCCUCUGCAGCCAUUUAUCUCAGAAUAAACCAACAUGGAGAAAAAAAUCAAAUUAUACUUUCCAAACCAGUUUCUUUACCCUCACCUAUACUCCUCUCCCACUAAUUUGCCAGUGGUCCAUAGAGCACUGCCAAGGAAAUACUGAGUAACUUUCUCUCCUUGUCCACAGUAGAAUUGUUUCAGCUUGUGUUGUUGAAAAUAUUAGAAAACAAACUUGAUGCUUCAGAACAUUUGUUCUUGAGGACUGUUCAAAAAUCUUGCCCAAACUUAUAAUAAAUAACAGGGGAAGCCAGGUUUUGGAUCACUAGCCCUCGUUCCUUCUGAGGGUUGGUCUAGCUCUCUUUCCUCUAACCACACUCCUUCUCAUCACUGGUUGUAUGUAGACCAGACUCUUGACUUUAAAAAAGGGAGAAAAUCAGUAUAAACCCAUCUUUUCCUCUUCCUUAAAGAGGCAGUUGUUCGACAAUUAGCAGUAUGUUUACACUGAAAAUAUUAACAUAUAAAAUUAGAUUCCUAUCUGAGAUCACAUAUCAUUAGAUUUAGAGUUUUUUUUUCUUUUUCUUUCUGAGUGAAAAUUUCAAUAACGCUGAAUUUGUGUAUAUGUGAGGUCUUUCCCACAUUGUUUAAAGACUGGCUAAAGAUUAAUUAUCAGUUUACUUUUGAAUCAAGGCUGACUAUAGGGCUUUGUCUUUUCUGCACAACUGUGGCAAUAAAGUAUGUACUUUUUGUAUUUAAUUGGGGCAAAUGAAAGGGCAGCUCUGCUGCAGGUGUUAACUUGCAAAUAUCUGAGUUCACACUGCUUUGUGCUGGGAGCAUGGUUGUGGGUUUUGGGGAACUAACAUACAUCUGAGUGUGGAUAGGGAAAAUCAGGGUAGAUGGCAUUAAACCAGGUAAGUCUUAAUUCUCAAGGAGGCAAGUUGUUUUUCAGUUUUCCAGUGAUCUUGAACCAGCCUGUUAAAAAGCUAUUUGGCUUCUCAUACAAUUCUCCCCUUGCUGAGAAUUCCCUGCCUACUCCUUUACUUUCACCCCAGUGAGGCCAAAACCCUACCCUGUUUCUGGCCCCAGAGCAGGCUUUGCUAUUUAGAAAGUAGCAGAAAUGAGGAAAUGGUAGGGAGGAGGAAUGUGUGACCAAUACCCGUUUCCUAGCUCCUGACACAUAUCUACGUCCAACUACUAUGUCCCAAGUCCCUGCAGUGCUCUCUGCAUGUGGGCUCUGAAAUGCCCUGGGGAAUCCCUAGGUCUGGCUCGCCUAUAAAUGCAAAUGAAUGCUAUUGAAGUCCUUUCUUUACUCCAAAACUGACUCUUAAAACACUCAUACUCAAGUAAGGAAGAAGUAAGUGAGAAUACAGGAGAAAGUGUGUGUGUGUGUGUGUGUGUGUUUGCAAAAGGGAGGUCAGGGAACUGUUUUAACUUACCGUUUGUUUUUCAUUUUAUUAGCCUUAAAAAUAAAAUAAAAAUAAUAAAAAAUUAAAAUAAAAAUCCCCAAAAUGGAGUUCCCGCUGUGGCGCAACAGAAUCAGUGGCAUCUCUGCAGUACCAGAAGGCAGGUUCAAUCCCUGGCCCUGCACAGUGGGUUAAAGGUCUGACAUUGCUGCAGCUGUGGUGUAGGUUGCAACUGCAGCUCAGAUCUGAUCUCCAGACUGGGGAACUUUAUGUGCCAUAGGGCAGCCAAAAAUGAAAGGGAAAAAAAAACUAAAAAAAAAAAAAAAAAAAUCCCCAAAGUGUUUCAGGAUCAGGUAAGUGGGGAAACGUUUUCAGAUGUUUGGUUUUGGUUGUGUCCCUUUCUGUACUGUAGUGAGCAAGUGAAAGAAGCAAUACCAGUGGAACAGCAAAGUUUUGGGCCAGUCCUGAGGCCUCAGAGGGAAGUUAACAAAUUGGAAGUUACCAUCGGCUACACCAGCAACUGGCCCAAAAUGAACACUGGAAUUGAUUACCCAGCAGCCAUUAUCUACUAGAUUACAAUUUUAUAAAUUGUGGUAAUGCCAUCCUCUUUGCUGUUUGUUUUGGAAAUGGAUUAUGACCAAAUUCUGGUCAACAAGACAUGAAGGGAAAUUCUCUGGGAGAAUUCUGGGAAAUUUUUCCUUUGUUUUGCUACCAGCUUAGGAAGUGAAGCAAUAGAAUAGCAGAGCAUAAAAAUUGAAAGUCUGUGUCCUCAUAAUUAAGUUAAGGAUAUAAAAGGGACUCCUGAGGCUGCAUCAGAGAACACAGAUCUGCGCUGCUGUGGCUGUGGUGUAGGCUGGCAGCUGCAGCUCAGAUUCAACCCCUAGCCACGGAACUUCCAUAUGCCACAGGUGUGACCCUAAAAAGCAAAUCAAAAAUAAUAAAAUAAUAAAACAAAGUAAAAUUAUUAUUGUAUGACAUGGUUUCCACAAAAAAUAGAUUUUCUGUUUGAGACAACUGAUUUAUAAAAUGCAACCUAUGGUAAAUCUGAGACUAUACAUACAUUCUAGUUUUAACUGAAAUCCUUACAUGAAGAAUAUCCUUGCCUGAACUAGAUGUUUGAGAUGUUUAUUCUAAUAUCAGCAAUAAGAGGAAAGAGAGAUUUGAUGCUGUGCCACUAGUCAGGGCUUCACUCGGCCUAGUAUGCAUGUGUCUGAGUAUGUGAGGGGAGGGGAAGGAAGAGGAGGGGAAAGCAGAGGCCAAUGUCAUGGUUUUCCCCUACCCUGCAAUGCUGUUAUUCAGGCAAAAUAAGGUUAAAAGGAACAUUGAGAGGUGUCCUGAAAAUCAAAGAGUCACAAAAGCCAACUGUACCCUGUUGAGGAUCCAUCUCCUAAUACUGGUAUGAUAAAAAGAAAUGUAUAUAGACUAAGUGCAUGUGUAUGAAUCUUAGAUAUAUCAUUAGAGCCAGAUGGAAAAAUCCUUUCCUUCUUUGCUGGUCCUGUCUUUACCCCAGGAUAGCAGUGCCUAUGAGUAGGAGGGAUAGUUUGUGUAGCUGACUCAACCAAUUAUCAGUCUACAAAGAAGGGACCAAGUGGGAAAUAACCUAAUUUUCCCACAGUCUUCAUGACUAGGACUUCCCCCUUACCUAGUUACUAGCCAGUGGAGAAUAUGUCUUAAUAAUGUUUGUGUUCCUACCCCCCUUUGCCCAAUGUGAGAAAAAUAGUUACCUUUAACUAAACACAGCCAAGUACUUUGCUUACAUUAUCUCAUUUAAUCUUCAUAGUAACACUGUAAUUUAGAUGUUAGUAUGCUCAUUUUAAUUAUGCAGAAACAGAGGAGCAAUUUGGUUGACCAAGUUGAUCAAGAUCACAUAGCAGGUAUUAAAGUCAAGUUUGAAACACACCCAGUCUCAAAGUCCAGGUUUUUAAUAAGCAGCUCUGACCAGGGUCCUCAAGACCACCCUCAGGUUCAAUGAGUCACUAUAAGGACUUAGAAAUAAUAAUAACUCAGAAAAGCUAUUAUACUCAUGGUUACUGUUUACAACAAUGAAAGGCUACAGAUUAAAGCCAGCGAAGGUAAAAGGAGUGGGAGGAGUCUAUGGGAGAACAGGAACAAGCUUCCAGUUUUCUCUUCCCACUGGACAGCACUUAGAGACAGGUGCCUUUCCCAGCAACAAUAAGCAUGGAAUACUCCUCACCAAGGAAGCUCACCUGAGCCUUGGGUGUCCAGGGUUUCUAGUAGGGAUUGGUUACAUCAGCAUAGGGGACCCACAUGACUUACAUUACUCAGUCCCCAGUACACCCAAAGGUCAAACUGACACAGCAUGGCCCAAGGCCUCCACCAUAAAUCUUCUUGUUGGCAUAAACUAUCUGCUGUGGCUUGAAUAUUGACUUAAAUAUCAAUUUGUAAUCAGCUUACAUUGCCAGGGCCAUAGUCAACAGGCUGAAUAAUUAUAUUUCUGGGUCAUCGCAGUUCUAUGCCAUUUACAAGUCAGAAGGCAUAUGUGAUAUUAGAAUCUUCUAAAUUCUAAGCAAUAGAGAAGAAAAACGAGACAUUAGAUCAAGAACAAUAAGAAUAUUUUAAUUUCAUGGAUAAUACAAAAGAGAAAAGGAAAUUUAUUCAAAUAUUCUUAAAAACAAAUGUGCUUUUAAAAAUGAUAAGGUACUCUGUACCUAAAAGUGGUGUAAAUUUUUUUUUUUUUUGCUUUUUUUUUUUUUUAGGGCCACGUCCAAGGCAUAUGGAGGUCCUCAGGCUCAGGGUUGAAUGGGAACUGUAGCCGCCAGCCUAUGCCAGAGCCAUAACAACACAGUCCAAGCAGCGUCUGCAAUCUACAAAAAGUGGUGUAACUUUGGACUUAAAUGAGUAUCUGCUUCCUCAUUUAUUAAAAAAAAAACAAAAAAACAAAAA
rnacentral:lncRNA from 1 species